GUCUUCGUGGUGUAGUGGUCAGCACACUCGACGCGUAUUCGAGAGAUCCGUGGUUCAAGUCCCGGUGAGGGCA
rnacentral:tRNA from 1 species